rnacentral:sRNA from 1 species
UAGUUGGUAAACUAGUCGCACGUUCAGC